rnacentral:lncRNA from 1 species
GCCAACUCAGAAGUUGCAGCGUCUUCCCGCUCGUGGACUUUCAGGCUCUGGGCUAACGUUAGAGCCGCAUCUGUGCCCAUAUCGACAACGAAAGAAGGCCAGUGCUGUCUAUAAGUGGGGCUGCAGAAGCAGAGAAAGCUUUGAGGCUAACCCAAGCUGGUCUGAGGAAUACGAGAGUACGGAGAUGAGGACGACUCGACGGACACCUAAGGC